rnacentral:rRNA from 1 species
GUUGUAUGGUUAAGUGACUAAGCGUACACGGUGGAUGCCUGGGCAGUCAGAGGCGAUGAAGGACGUACUAACUUGCGAUAAGCGCAGAUAAGGCAGUAAGAGCCGUUUGAGUCUGCGAUUUCCGAAUGGGGAAACCCAACUGCAUAAGCAGUUACUGUUAACUGAAUACAUAGGUUAACAGAGCAAACCGGGGGAACUGAAACAUCUAAGUACCCCGAGGAGAAGAAAUCAACCGAGAUUCCGGUAGUAGCGGCGAGCGAACCUGGAUUAGCCCUUAAGCACUCGGUGAAGUAGGUGAACAAGCUGGAAAGCUUGGCGAUACAGGGUGAUAGCCCCGUAACCGACGCUUCAUCGAGCGUGAAAUCGAGUAGGGCGGGACACGUGAUAUCCUGUCUGAAUAUGGGGGGACCAUCCUCCAAGGCUAAAUACUCCUGACUGACCGAUAGUGAACCAGUACCGUGAGGGAAAGGCGAAAAGAACCCCUGUGAGGGGAGUGAAAUAGAACCUGAAACCGUGUACGUACAAGCAGUAGGAGCACCUUCGUGGUGUGACUGCGUACCUUUUGUAUAAUGGGUCAGCGACUUAUAUUCAGUGGCAAGGUUAACCGUAUAGGGGAGCCGUAGCGAAAGCGAGUCUUAACUGGGCGCUCAGUCUCUGGAUAUAGACCCGAAACCGGGUGAUCUAGCCAUGGGCAGGUUGAAGGUUGAGUAACAUCAACUGGAGGACCGAACCGACUAAUGUUGAAAAAUUAGCGGAUGACUUGUGGCUAGGGGUGAAAGGCCAAUCAAACUCGGAGAUAGCUGGUUCUCCCCGAAAGCUAUUUAGGUAGCGCCUCGGACGAAUACUACUGGGGGUAGAGCACUGUUAAGGCUAGGGGGUCAUCCCGACUUACCAACCCUUUGCAAACUCCGAAUACCAGUAAGUACUAUCCGGGAGACACACGGCGGGUGCUAACGUCCGUCGUGGAGAGGGAAACAACCCAGACCGCCAGCUAAGGUCCCAAAGUAUUGCUAAGUGGGAAACGAUGUGGGAAGGCUCAGACAGCUAGGAUGUUGGCUUAGAAGCAGCCAUCAUUUAAAGAAAGCGUAAUAGCUCACUAGUCGAGUCGGCCUGCGCGGAAGAUGUAACGGGGCUAAGCAAUACACCGAAGCUGCGGCAAUAUCUUUUAGAUAUUGGGUAGGGGAGCGUUCUGUAAGCCGUUGAAGGUGAAUCGUAAGGUUUGCUGGAGGUAUCAGAAGUGCGAAUGCUGACAUGAGUAACGACAAAGGGGGUGAAAAACCUCCUCGCCGGAAGACCAAGGGUUCCUGUCCAACGUUAAUCGGGGCAGGGUGAGUCGACCCCUAAGGUGAGGCCGAAAGGCGUAAUCGAUGGGAAACGGGUUAAUAUUCCCGUACUUCUGACUAUUGCGAUGGGGGGACGGAGAAGGCUAGGUGGGCCAGGCGACGGUUGUCCUGGUUCAAGUGCGUAGGCUUGAGAGUUAGGUAAAUCCGGCUCUCU